ACUCCUACGGGAGGCAGCAGUAGGGAAUAUUGGACAAUGGGCGGAAGCCUGAUCCAGCCAUGCCGCGUGCAGGAAGACGGCCCUCUGGGUUGUAAACUGCUUUUAUAUGGGAAGAAAAUGGGCUUUGCGAAAGCACAUUGACGGUACCAUAGGAAUAAGCCACGGCUAACUACGUGCCAGCAGCCGCGGUAAUACGUAGGUGGCGAGCGUUAUCCGGAUUUAUUGGGUUUAAAGGGUGCGUAGG
rnacentral:rRNA from 1 species